CAUCCCCUGUUGUAUUUGAUAGUGGCUGAGAUCUCCUUGAGCCUAAUCACCAAUCCAGGGGACUAAUCUGGUACGGUGUGCAUGUCUGCCAUGUGUGGAAAGCCUGAAGUGCCACUGCCGUCCCCCUCUUGAACCUUUGGUUCAGGGGCAACAGCUGCAACGGUACCUACGGAGGAUGC
rnacentral:other from 1 species